AGACCCGAAACCCGGUGAUCUAGCCAUGGGCAGGUUGAAGGUUGGGUAACACUAACUGGAGGACCGAACCGACUAAUGUUGAAAAAUUAGCGGAUGACCUGUGGCUGGGGGUGAAAGGCCAAUCAAACCGGGAGAUAGCUGGUUCUCCCCGAAAGCUAUUUAGGUAGCGCCUCGUGAAUUCAUCUCCGGGGGUAGAGCACUGUUUCGGCUAGGGGGCCAUCCCGGCUUACCAACCCGAUGCAAACUGCGAAUACCGGAGAAUGUUAUCACGGGAGACACACGGCGGGUGCUAACGUCCGUCGUGAAGAGGGAAACAACCCAGACCGCCAGCUAAGGUCCCAAAGUCAUGGUUAAGUGGGAAACGAUGUGGGAAGGCCCAGACAGCCAGGAUGUUGGCUUAGAAGCAGCCAUCAUUUAAAGAAAGCGUAAUAGCUCACUGGUCGAGUCGGCCUGCGCGGAAGAUGUAACGGGGCUAAACCAUGCACCGAAGCUGCGGCAGCGACACUCAGGUGUUGUUGGGUAGGGGAGCGUUCUGUAAGCCUGUGAAGGUGGCCUGUGAGGGU
rnacentral:rRNA from 1 species